rnacentral:rRNA from 1 species
GAGGACGCCGCUGCUGCCACCAAAGCCGCGGCCUCUGCGUGGCCUACUGGAGGGUAUAACUCGUUUAUCCCGCUCCUGAUUAUUUUCAUAUUAGCAGUACUAGCAGUAUGUGUAGAUUUGUCUACUGUUUGCUUAGUACGUGCAUGUUUAGAUCAGAGUGGGUACGUCAUCAACUUAGUCAAUGCCAUGCUAGUGAUUUACUCAUGGAUUAAUUUAAUCGAGAAAUUGCCUAUUUACUCAACAAUCCAAAAACCUAUUAUGUGUAGGAAUUUCUCGGCAAGUGGCUUUGCCGCUGCACUGAAACCGGAUAAGUUUACUGGUACAUACUUCAAGCGUUGGCAGACUAAGACCACGUUAUGGCUCACGGCUAUGAACGUGUUCUGGGUCACCGGUGUCUCCACGGGAACGAUUGCUCCUGAACAGGAGAAGGCGUUCAAGGAGGCUACCGUUGUGUUUCUCGGAGCAGUUCUUAGCGUGAUCGGAGAUAAACUGGUCGACGCAUAUUUACAUGUGCAUGUCGCCAAGGACUUGUGGGAGGCGCUCGAAUCUAAAUUCGGGGCCGCCGAUGCAGGGAGCGAGAUGUAUAUUAUAGAGCAGUUCCACGAUUACAAGAUGGUUGAAAACCGUCCUGUAUUGGAGCAGGCUCAUGAGAUAAUAUGCAUUGUUAAGGAACUUGAGC